CUGAUAGUUCAAUUAACGUUGAAUAAUCUAAUGUCAUGUGCUAUGAUUCUGCCUAUGUUUCUAUCAAGCAGAGUUUUCUAUUAUAUAGAAAUGGUCGGCCAAGGGCAAAAUUGUCAUUUUUGCUCUAAGAAAAAAUCUUCCGACUUUCCAUCUAUUAUUUUUGACACACAAACAUCUGCCGACUUCCAUCUCUUUGUACUUCAAUUCUCCUUCUCUUAGAUUUCAGAUAUUAUUCUCUCAGUCUUUGCUCACAUCUUCUUUAUCUUCUCUUGGUGUUCUUUUCUUUCUUUGCUUUUUUUAGAUCUGUUUAACAGUUUCCAAUUUCAUGGAUGAAUUUUCUUGAAUUUCGUGUUUUCCGACCAGAAGAUGCGGAUCACCAUUUUAAGGGUUAAUCUCCGUCCAAUUUUAUUAAUGUUGCUUUCUUCUUGCUGAUUCGCCUCUAUCUCUUCUUACGACAGAUUGAGUCACCAAAGGAAGUUUGUUGAUCCCCUAACAUUCCAAACCGAAAAUGGAGAAAUUUUGCUCAUUUUUGCUAGCCAGCAGACACAACGCAACGCAGGAGGGUAGAUCAUAAUGAUAGUUGCCACAAGGGGAAAAUGGAGAAAUUUUGCACCACUUCAAAGGCAGUCUGCAUUAUUAAAGCUCUCAAGAAUUUGUUUGAAGAAUACAUAGUAGCAGAUGUUUCCAGCAAUGCACAAAUAUUUGCAAUAUGGCUCUUAGUUGGACUUGUAUAUGUUAUCUCUUUUGUUCAUAGUGAAAACAAUGAUAGCAACUGAUACAUUUGGUUGAUCACGUAGCUUAGGAUUGCGGGUAGAAAAUGAAGAUCUAAUAAGGCGUAUGCUUGAGUUUGAUUUUUUAACUGUAUUUAAAGGAAGUGGAAGAAAAGGAAAUAUUUACUCAGUUUCAACAAGUCUAGGGAAGCAAUAUAUAUUGUUCUAUGUUUGUCACUA